rfam:Trichosporon oleaginosus strain IBC0246 unplaced genomic scaffold CC85scaffold_7, whole genome shotgun sequence.
GGCAACUUGGCGGAGUGGUUAACGCGAUUGACUCGAAUUCCUGGGUAUCCAGGUGUCUAUCAAUUUCCUUCGGGAGCGCAUGUUCGAAUCAUGCAGUUGUCG